CACAAAGUCCCUUGCACCAGCAGCGUGCGUCAGCAAGAGAGCGGAAGCAGGAACAGUUGGCGGGAAGACACAUACCCCCUGAAGAUCCAGAGGGAGGCCAUCUGGGUAUAGCAGCUGGGCAAAAGAAGCUCCUCAGCCUCCAGUCGCCUGUCUGUGCAUGCCCCUUGGUCACUGAUCUCACCUACCAGUGAGAUUAUCUGAACAAAUCACCACCUUCAUCUUGAGAAUGUAUCUUCAAAGGCAUUAGGAUAGACCCUCUGAAGGAAAUAGACUGCUCCUGCAGGACCCGGGAGACACCCUAAAUACUCACUCAAAGUAUGUGGAAGACGAAACAGUCAAAAGAAAAAUUUAAAGUCAUUGAAAUUGAAGACCAGUGCCCUCCCCUGCUACGGACAUCAGCAAUUUCUGCUACAGUAAUACAAAUAUUGGCCACACUGUCCUGUCCUUACCAAAUCCAAAUAGAACAGGUUCCUGGACCACCCUUCAGUGCAAAGGUGGAACUUAACUCUCAUGAAUGUAUCUUAAACUUCUCAUACUUGAUUCUGGCACCUUAGAGUCACAGGAGACACUUAAUUAAAACAAAUAGAUGCUAUCUUCAGAACAUUAAACAGAAACUGUGAAAAGGGCACAAGAGAGUUCUGUGAAUUGGCCAUGUGCUUCUAAUUAGAAGCCUGAGCUUAUAACCACUUACCUAAGCAUUGCCGCUCAAGCUUUAAUUAGCUUAUAAAUCACUUGGUAAACUUGGCCCCACUCUAUGUAAUGUGAUUCUGCAGGUUUGGAAAUGGUCCAUAAAUGGGUGUUCUAAACAAGUCCCCUGUCAGUGCUGAUGUCACUCUCUCUGGUCUCAUUAUUAGCAUUUGUUAGAAAAAUGAGGCACAGCACAGAGUCCCUUACACUCAGCACUCCUGUCACAACACAAAUACUUCUGAUACAAAUGAAGACAACCAUUCUCUAUCUUAAAGUAUACUACUUGCUGGCUCUUUAAAGUUCACAAAGAAAACAGAAAACAGCAAUUUCUGAGUAAGUCUGCAUUUGGAAAACAACAUGUGCAUAUGUACUAAUGCAAUGUUUAUUAAGCAGGUACUAUGUAAUCAACAGGAUGUUACAGAGCACUGUGACAAUUCAUUAUUUGAUUUAAUUCUAAUAACACCCUGUGAGUUGAUACUAAGUGUUGAAUAAUCCCAAGGAUUUAGAAUAAGGAUCCAGCAUUUUUAUUUCUUCUUCUGUUUUUCUGUCACUAAUUUUUUUUUAAAAAAUGCAUAGAAUAAAAUCUAAAUAUAGACAGAUGAGAGGGAUACAGAUAGAGUGUAAUGUAAUUUAGAUGAAUUAUUAUGUUUAUAUUUACUAUUUUGUGACUUGUGAAUCAACUACUGUAUCUGCAGGAACAGAAAACAAGUUGCUAAAUGGAAUGUCUCUGUAAACACUGGUUUUAAUAUAAAAUUAUUAAAUUAAGACCCUAUAAUACAUGUUAUUUUUCCAUUUAUCUGCUAUUGGGUUUCAGAAAAUUGUGAGCACCAACUCUAAAAAGGCAACAAGAUUCAUCACCCAAAACUCUGAUCUCUUCUAGUUAGUUCUGCGAGGCAAAACUCCAGGGUAGGGCAAGACUUAAAUAAGGCCUUCAAAAAGGGUGAAUCUAAACAGGGCUGAAGCAGGGUGUAGAGUUGAUGUAAAAUUCUGUUCUUUAUGCCACUGGGGAGUAUUUUCAGUUCCGUUUCUUUUUUUAAACUUAGCUAAAAAACAAAAACAAAAACAGAAACUUAAAUCUCAGAGUUUGUGUAAUUUUAAUCUUUUUUAGCCCCACUGCCCUUUCAAUUUUAUAUCACAUACUAAUAAGCAAUUUAAACAAAUCCCUUAAGGUUUUCUAGAAUAAUUUUUUAGAUGAUAAAUAAGUAUUCUUAGCAGGGCAUAAAAAAUACAAAUAAUAACUUUUUUGUUUAUUAAUAUAUGUUCAAGUGUAGACAUCACAAGUCACAAAAAUAUAAAGAAAAUGGCCCAAAUAAAGCCCAUAUUUUUGCACACAUCUAUUUAUUGUACCCAACCUUUUGAUGCAUAAUUAAACCACUUAUCCAGUUGCUAGUCUAGACUAAAAGUUCUUGCAUGGUAGGGACCAUGACUGCUUCAUCUAUUUUUCUAAUGACUAUAUGAAUUGGAAGCAAUUAGUUUAUUUGUUUGAGUCUCCAGACCUCCUCAUCAUUUUUCACUCAAGUACCAGGGAACUAGAGAAACUCUCACCUGGGUACCAACCAAAGACAUCUCUUGUAUGAGGGGAGGAGCAAACACAGGAUGACUCAUUUCUUUUACACUAAGAUAGAAGCAAAAUUAACCACUCUAGUCAGCCUGACACAAUUCUGUUCUGGAGAUUCUCAAAUGUCUCAAAGAUACCUAGGUGACUGUGAGAGCAUUUCCAGUGACCCUGGGCUGAUGGUCCAAUAAUAAGCCAGCAAGAGAGACUCAGGCUGAUUCUAAAUAGAAAAUGAAACUACCAAAUAGGCAGAGACACAAUUCUGCCUGCAUAUUUAGGUGACAGCACACAUUUUACAGCAUAACUGCGAGUUGACUGGAAGCCUGAGAGGGAAAGUCCCCUCUAGAGUAGAGCUUGGUUGGCACCUUAUGUGUUUAUAUUAUGUCUGGUAAUUCUACACAGUGUUUGGGAAAUAUAAUUUUUAUUAAUUCUCUUCAGCACCAGAGAAACCACAGUAAUAGAACAGAAAGAAAACUGUCUCAUUACACAAUUAAGUCUGAAUGUCACAUGCAUUACAAUCCAUCUGCUUAAGAGAUUGAAAAGAAAUAAAGACGGUUACCGUAAUUAGUUCACAAGUAGAAGAAUUUACAGCGCCAUGUCAUAGGUAGUUCAUCCUAAAUUCACCUGGUCAUUGGGGAGGUCAUCCAUGUAUGCUAAUUGGUUAUAUUCAAUGACAAAAUAAGCUUUUCACAUCUUCAUGGCAGAAGGUAGUUUUGCAACUUGAAGCCAGGUGCCUGCUUAAGGUAGACUUUCACUCUUCUACAAAAGUGGUUGAAUAGGGUGCUAUCUUUUUGGCUACUUGCAUUUUAAAGCACUGGCUCUCUACUCCCUGAGGACUUGACUAGUGCACUCCUGCUUCCCCUCUCCUGGUGGCCAGUGUCCUCUUUUGUUUCCUACUAUCUGCCACUGUGGUACAGCCCACAGCACAGGGCUCACAGCUGGCAGCUCACAUCUUAGAUGAACGACAAUUGCCACAGCAGCACUUUAGUGUCACAUCAAAGAGUGAAGUCUGGCCGGGUGCGGUGGCUCAUGCCUGUAAUCCCAGCACUUUAGGAGGCUGAGGUGGGCAGAUCAUGAGGUCAGGAGUUCAAGAGCAGCCUGGUCAACAUGGUGAAGCCCCAUCUCCACUAAAAAUAAAAAUAAAAAAUUUGCUGGGCAUGGUGGUGGGCACCUGUAAUCCAAGCACUCAGGAGGCUGAGGAAGGAGAAUCCCUUGAGCCCAGAAGGCGGAGGUUGCAGCGAGCUGAGAUCGCGAGAUUGCACCAUUGCACUCUGACCUGGGCAAGGGGGGAAAAUCCGUCUCAAAAAAAAAAAAAAAAAAAAAGAGUGAAGCCUGAGCUGCAGAAGGAGAGCUUGCAGGCCUCCCGGGUAGAAUUGCACCUUCACAAUAAUGGGAAUGCGAGCAUUAUCUAAGCCACAGUUUCUAUUUAUAAUGGUGACAUGGAAAAUAUACUGCUGGGUUUCCAGCAUGCAUCCAGAUAGAGAUAGCUCUAAGAGUUCUCACUGUGACAGCCCACGUCUUUCACAGACAUUA